AACGAACGCUGGCGGCAUGCCUAACACAUGCAAGUCGAACGAGACCUUCGGGUCUAUUGGCGCACGGGUGCGUAACGCGUGGGAACCUGCCUUUAGGUUCGGAAUAACUCAGAGAAAUUUGAGCUAAUACCGGAUGAUGUCUUCGGACCAAAGAUUUAUCGCCUUUAGAUGGGCCCGCGUUGGAUUAGCUAGUUGGUGGGGUAAAGGCCUACCAAGGCGACGAUCCAAAGCUGGUCUGAGAGGAUGAUCAGCCACACUGGGACUGAGACACGGCCCAGACUCCUCCGAAAGGCAGAAGGGGGGAAGAUGGAACAAUGCGCGAGAGCCUAAUGCAGCAAGGCCGCGAGAGUGAUGAAGGCGUGAGGAUUGAAAAGCUCUUUUACCCGAGAUGAUAAGAAGGGUACCGAGAGAAUAAGCACGGCUGAACUCCGU
rnacentral:rRNA from 1 species